rnacentral:sRNA from 1 species
UUCUAAGUUAAUUUAGAGAACUCUGAAAUUUCUUAAGAGAGACUCCCAUUGGAGAUGGCCUUAGUAUCUUCAAUUUUAUUCUCAUGAUCACUGCCUCCAAUUUAAA